GCCGGUGUUUUUUUUGUCUGCUCCCCUGCAAGGGAGCGAGGGGCGGCCCGUGAUCGGACUCACGCGACGGCUAAAGCCGAGCGCGUCUACUCCCGCGAAAGCCGAGCAGACUAUUUGGCAUUUGGCAUCUGCUACCAAUUUGCGAGAGGUUGAAGACCACCGGAAGUUUGACGUACUUCGUUUGUUCAUAGGGCGGCGAGACACACGGAUCUAAGGACGGAUGGGUACGGGAUCCCGCCGCCUUCGGGGCCGAGCGCGCCUCGACGGAUUGACGAUUUAUCAUCAGGAUCAAAUGAUGAAGAGAUUUUUUAAUACCCCUCCUGCAGAUAGUGCAGUGAACCAUGCACACACCUGGUCUACAUAUAUUUCUGACUUCCCAAGGACGAGGACAACAAUUGUCGACCGAUAGGCCAGCAGAUGAACUUCGCAACGAACACAUCAAGAUUGCUCACGAGUUAAUGGCAUGUAUAGCUAAAUACUUUGACGGAAGGACGCCGAAGGCAAAGGGAUGGCAGAAUUGGUUCCCCAAAGCUCACCAACGGCCCUUGGAUUUGCAGCAGGGCUUCAAGAGGGAUACAGGCGCUACAUUAUGUGAGGCAGUGGUAUGAGCGUUUUUCUGAUGCAACAGUUAGGAGAUGAGAUCUACCAAUCAAGGAUGAUCCUUCUUUAUGAAGUUUUGGGAUUAGCUGGGAACAUUGGGCAACUCCCUGCAAAAUUUAAGAUGUGCCAGACUGAUUGCUGAGAAGGGGGCAAAUAUAGCUUGGUCACACUAUCACUAUUAGCACCGCCACAAUCAAGAAGUCAGAAGGGGGUCAUUUGCAACGGCCUUGUAAAUCAAACCGUGGUCGUUCCCAUUAUCAAAGAACUUAUGGGAGACUCGUAAUUUUUCCUGAGAACUAUCUGCAGGUUAUGUAAUACGUAUUUUAUGAAACUUUUUCCGUAUGCUUAGAGUGCGUAUUGCAUGCGGUAUGUGUCAGGAACCUGACCUUGGGCAACGCCAGUGACUUUAGUCCCACCUCAAAUAUGGGAGGAGGCUAGGAGCUUUUUAUAAGUGAGAGUGCCACACUCCCUUCAGGCCGGUCUUUUGAAAUGUUGUGGGCUUUCUACUUAUAGUGGAGUGUCCGAUGCGCACCGGAAACGUCCGAGCAUAUGCCGAUGGACCGGGAGCUGGGCCUGGAUUGCUAACAAAUGGUAUCAGAGCUGGUCACCACGCCAUCCUAAGGGGGGGAGGAGGUUAGGAGCUCCUUAUAAGGAAGAGUGCCACACUUCCUUCAGGCCGGUCUUUUGGAAUGUUGUGGGCUUUCUGCUUAUAGUGGAGUGUCCGAUGUGCACCGGAAACGUCCGAGCAUAUGCCGAUGGACCGGGAGCUGGGCCUGGGUUGCUAACAGUAUGGUUUUAAUUUUAUUCAUAACUUUUGAAUUCACGGGGUACUGGGUUUGUAAUGUUCACUUCCCUCUAGAAGGAUUUCAAACCAU